rnacentral:rRNA from 1 species
GUGAGGAAUUUUCCGCAAUGGGCGAAAGCCUGACGGAGCAAUGCCGCGUGAAGGAUGAAGGCCUAUGGGUUGUAAACUUCUUUUCUCAGAAAAGAAUUAUGACGGUAUCUGAGGAAUAAGCAUCGGCUAACUCUGUGCCAGCAGCCGCGGUAAGACAGAGGAUGCAAGCGUUAUCCGGAAUGAUUGGGCGUAAAGCGUCUGUAGGUUGUUUAAAAAGUAUUCUGUCAAAGAUUAGGGCUUAACCCUAGAUAGGCAGAAUAAACUUUUAAGCUAGAGUUUGGUAGAGGCAGAGGGAAUUCCCGGUGGAGCGGUGAAAUGCGUAGAUAUCGGGAGGAACAACAAAGGCGAAGGCACUCUGCUGGGCCAAUACUAACACUGAGAGACGAAAGCGAGGGGAGCAAAUGGGAUUAGAUACCCUUGUAGUCC